rnacentral:rRNA from 1 species
GGAGAGAGAACCUUUUUUCCGGCGCUAUAGAGACAGUAUUGCAAGGGAAAGAUGAAAGAUAAUAAAUAGUAAAAAAAAGCAUUGAUUAUCCCUACUACCUUUUGUAUAAUGAAUUAACUAGAACUAAUUUGGCAAAGGGGACUGAAGUCAACCACCACAAAACCAAACGAGCUACUUCCAAACAGCAGAGCAAACUUGUCUAUGUGGCAAACUAGUGAGAGGAUUUAGAAGUAGAGGUGAAAAGCCAACCGAGCUUGGGGAUAGCUGGUUAUCCAAAUAAGAAUCUUAGUUCAGCUUUAAUUUUUCCUAAAAUACUUCCAAGUCUAAUGAAAACUUAAAACUUACUUUAAAGAGGGACAGCUCUUUAAAACAAGGAAACAACCUUCAACAGUAGGUAAAAAACAUAACCACCAGAGUUGGCCUAAAAGCAGCAUCAAUUAAGAAAGCGUUCAAGCUCAACAAACUGCACAAUUCCUAAUCCCAAUAAAAUUUAAUAAGCCCCUGACUAACAAUUGGAUUAAUCUAUAAUUAUAUGGAGGAAAUAAUGUUAAUGUUAGUAAUAAGAAGUCAUUCUCCCUGCAUGAGCUUAAAUCAAACAUAAUUUGAUUAUUCACAAUUUAAUAAGACAAGACUCCUUAUUAAUAUUCUUAUUAAACCAAUUGUUAACCCAAUAAAGGAGUGCUAUCCAGGAAAGACAAAAAACAGCAAAAGGAACUUGGCAAACACAAAUCCUGCCUGUUUAUCAAAAACAUCACCUCUAGCAUUCCUUAAUAUUAGAGGCACUGCCUGCCCAGUGACAUCAGUUCAACGAUCACAGUAUCCUGACCGUGCAAAGGUAGCAUCAUCACUUGUUCUUUAAAUAAGGACUCCUAUGAACGGCUAAAUGAGGAUUUAACUCUCUCUUGCUUUAUGUCAGUGAAAUUGACCUCCCCAUGAAGAGGUGGGGAUAGUACAAUAAGAUGAGAAGACCCUAUGGAGCUUUAAUUUAUUAAUUUACUCUGCCUACCUGAAACCACAAGGGCACAAAACAGAUAGACCUAAAUUAAAAUAAUUUUGGUUGGGGUGACCUCAAAGAAUAGCAAAACCUCCAAAUGAUAUUAACCUAGACACCACAAGUCAAAGUUCCUAUCACUAACUGACCUAAAACUCUUUGAUCAAUGGAGCAAGUUAUGCUAGGGAUACAGCGCAAUCCUAUUUUAGAGUCCAUAUGGACAAUAGGAUUGACGACCUCGAUGCUGGAUCAGGACAUCCUAAUAGCAGCUGCUAUUAAGGGUUCGUUUGUUCAAGGAUUAACAGUUCUACAUGUGGUCUGAGUUCAGUAUGGAGCCAUCCAGAUCGGUUUCUAUCUAUUAAAGACCUCUCCCA